rnacentral:rRNA from 1 species
GACAGAGGUGCCGAGCGUUAGGCGGAAUCACUGGGCUUAAAGCGUGUGUAGGCGGAUGCCUAAGUACCUUGUGAAAUCCCACGGCUCACCCGUGGAACUGCUGGGCAUACUGGCGAUCUUGGGCCAACUAGGGGCAACUGGAACAAGCGGUGGAGCGGUGAAAUGCGUAGAUAUCGCUUGGAACGCCAACGGUGAAAACAGGUUGCUGGGGUUGUGCCGACGCUGAGACACGAAAGCCAGGGGAGCAAACGGG